AUUGAACGCUGGCGGCAGGCCUAACACAUGCAAGUCGAACGAGUGGCGGACGGGUGAGUAAUGUCUGGGAAACUGCCCGAUGGAGGGGGAUAACUACUGGAAACGGUAGCUAAUACCGCAUACCAUCAGAUGUGCCCAGAUUGGAUUAGCUAGUUGGUGGGGUAACGGCUCACCAAGGCGACGAUCCCUCGCUGGUCUGAGAGGAUGACCAGCCACACUGGAACUGAGGCACGGUCCAGGCUCCUACGGGAGGCAGCAGUGGGGAAUAUUGGACCAUGCGGGCAAGCCUGCUGCAGCCAUGCCGCGUGUAUGAAGAAGGCCUUCGGGUUGUAAAGUAAUUUCAGCGGGGAGGCGUUGCCCGCAGGAGGAGCACCGGCUAACUCCGUGCCAGCAGCCGCGGUAAUAC
rnacentral:rRNA from 1 species